UUCGCCGCGUUUGUUGUUUCUGUGCUGGGUUGCAAAUAAUUUAAUGAAAAUGAAAAAUUCUAGUGAAAAUUUCUAUUUCUAUUUAAUAGUGACCGCAGUGCCGUGCAGUAAAUAAAAAACAUCAAAUUCCAUUUGGAAGGAAGCGGUGGUUCCGCUGUCAAACAACCACCCCCAAACCCGAAAAAAGUGAACGUGAAAGUGCCGUUCCUUUCGUUGGAUAAAUUGCCGUUUGCCUUUCUCUGACCUGAGCAAAAGCGAUUCUGGAUCUGGAUCCACCGGUGCAGUCGAAUGUGUCGCCAGCUUGCAAGCACGAAGCCAUUCGUACAGUGGGGCUAGGAAAAUCCGACGGUGAACGGAAUUGCGAUGGGCAUUCGGUCGAUCGUUGCAGUAUGCCUGACGGCAUUGACUGAGAUGGGAUAACGGAUUCACUUUGGAUGGUGGUACUGAAACCGGUCGUCCGCAAUGUUACAUUGUAAGGAAAUCAUACGCACACACGAUUCUUUUUUAGUUGAUGGAAGAUUGUGACUUGAAUGGAUAACGAUCUGCCACAUCAGAACCACAUCGAUAGUUAUUAAAAACAUAUCCCUACCUUGAUAACUUUCAAGCCGUCGUAGAAAUAUUCAUUUCAUUUGAAUCAGAUCAGCGAGCAUCCAUAAAUAACCUAGCAUUUCAGGAGGACGGGAGGAAUCUUCUAUUCUGCUACAGACCAUGUUUAAGAUCGAGUAUUCGUUACAAAAACACGCUUCGUGCUUCAUAGUGUCGUAUGUCAAACCGCAGAGUUAUACGAUAUUGAAUCAAUAAGCUUAUUGGAAAAAUCUUAUGCAUAUGGGCACUUCGAUAGGUCUUCAAAUAUAGGUACACUCUUUAAGCUUGGAGCGCAUUAUGCUUUUGAAUCAAUUUGGCAGUAUCCCAUGGGUUUACUAUCAAAGUCGAUGCAAUUGUAUGCUGUGUUCUCGAGGCUGUAGUAUAUCAAGUUUCUUCAAAUGCUACAAUAAUGAUGAAGCACGCUGUAAUGUUACUUUUGUACCUCAUCACCCACUAAAUGCAACUACAUUAGUGGACUAAUAACACUUAGCGCGCUCGGCUCGGUUCCAUCAUGCCGCUUAUAGUGUUGCCACAUAUAAUGCUUAGUCUGUUAAACCCAGUUAUCUGGCUGGUGGGGCAUGGGAGCCUACGCUUCAAUCAUUUAUGCAGUAAAACGUUACUUGAACUUGGACAUGAGUGAUCCGAAUAUUUGAAGAACUAUUCUAUCUUAGAAGCUUGUGUAGAAUUUGAUGAACUUAAUCUGAAGAAUCAUUUAGCAGUCAUUUAGGGAAAAUUAAUCUCAAAAUGACACGCAAUUGUAUCUUGGGAUUAGAAUCAUGUUUUGCAUUUGAACGUUUUGAACAAUCUUCUAAUAUAGGUUCACGUUGUAGUAUAUCGAGCAUUUUUAAUUGCUACAAUAAUGGUUAAGCACGCUGUAAUGAUACGUUUGUACCUCAUCACCCACUAAAUGCAACUACAUUAGUGGACUAAUAACACUUAGCGCGCUCGGCUCGGUUCCAUCAUGCCGCUUAUAGUGUUGCCACAUAUAAUGCUUAGUCUGCUAAACCCAGUUAUCUGGCUGUGGGGCAUGGGAGCCUAAGCUUCAACCAUCAAUGCAAUUAAACAUUACUCGAUUUACAACAUGAUCCAAAUAUUUGAUAUUUGUUCGAUCUGUGUUUUUGAAAUGUAGCUUAAAAUAUACAAGCUUCUAGUCCAAAUGCAUAAUGAUAGUUUAGUUUCGCUUCGUUCAGGAUUUGUUCAAGCAGUUCAAUAAUUUUCUGAUUCACAAUAGAAAACAAUUUCCAAACCAUUGGAUUUAACGUAAAAAUAAAAUGUUCUGUAUCACAAUAGAAAACUAUUCCAAAACAAUUGAAUCUAACGUGGAGCCAGUAAUAAAGUCACUACUAAUACAAUACGUUUACUGUACAUUUCACUGUUAAGAACAAUAUAAAAACAUAAAAAUCUUCUGUAUUACAGUACAAAACAAUUCCCAAACCAUUGAAUCAAAUGUGGAACCAGCAAUAAAAUCACAACUCAAUACAAUA